rnacentral:tRNA from 1 species
GCCCCCGUAGCUCAGUGGAUAGAGCAACGGUUUCCUAAACCGCAGGUCGCAUGUUCGAUUCAUGCCGGGGGC